GAUGAACGCUGGCGGCGUGCCUAAUACAUGCAAGUCGAGCGAACGGACGAGAAGCUUGCUUCUCUGAUGUUAGCGGCGGACGGGUGAGUAACACGUGGAUAACCUACCUAUAAGACUGGGAUAACUUCGGGAAACCGGAGCUAAUACCGGAUAAUAUUUUGAACCGCAUGGUUCAAAAGUGAAAGACGGUCUUUCUGUCACUUAUAGAUGGAUCCGCGCUGCAUUAGCUAGUUGGUAAGGUAACGGCUUACCAAGGCAACGAUGCAUAGCCGACCUGAGAGGGUGAUCGGACACACUGGAACUGAGACACGGUACAGACUCCUACGGGAGGCAGCAGUAGGGAAUCUUACGCAAUGGGCGAAAGCCUGACGGAGCAACGCCGCGUGAGUGAUGAAGGUCUUCGGAUCGUAAAACUAUGUUAUUAGGGAAGAACAUAUGUGUAAGUAACUGUGAACAUAUUGACGGUACCUAAUCAGAAAGCCACGGCUAACUACGUG
rnacentral:rRNA from 1 species